rnacentral:rRNA from 1 species
AGAACGAACGCUGGCGGCAUGCCUAAUACAUGCAAGUCGAACGAACACUUCGGUGUUAGUGGCGCACGGGUGCGUAACGCGUGGGAAUCUGCCCUUGGGUUCGGAAUAACAGUUGGAAACGACUGCUAAUACCGGAUGAUAUCGAAAGAUCAAAGAUUUAUCGCCCAGGGAUGAGCCCGCGUAGGAUUAGCUAGUUGGUGAGGUAAAGGCUCACCAAGGCGACGAUCCUUAGCUGGUCUGAGAGGAUGAUCAGCCACACUGGGACUGAGACACGGCCCAGACUCCUACGGGAGGCAGCAGUAGGGAUAUUGGACAAUGGGCGC